GGGGAUGAAACAGGCUCGACAUGCAUAGUAAAGGGGAUAGCUUUUGCUCGGUGAGAAAACAGCCGUUUCAAGUGAUCAAAACUUAUAAGUGCAAACGAUAAUUUCGUUUCUGCUAAUGAUAAUAAUAGCACUGCUAACUUAGUAGCUGCUUAGUUUUAAAAUUAGCACGGUUUUUUGGGGUUUUCCGGGUAACAGAAAAACCCCUCA
rnacentral:tmRNA from 1 species